rnacentral:rRNA from 1 species
GACGUAGGAGGCGAGCGUUGUCCGGAUUCAUUGGGCGUAAAGAGCACGCAGGCGGUUUGGCAAGUCGGAUGUGAAAGCCCCUGGCUCAACUGGGGAAGUGCACCCGAAACUGAGCGGCUUGAAUGCAAAAGAGGGUCGCGGAAUUCCCGGUGUAGAGGUGAAAUUCGUAGAUAUCGGGAGGAACACCGGUGGCGAAGGCGGCGACCUGGGUUGACAUUGACGCUGAGGCGCGAAAGCGUGGGGAGCAAACAGG